CGCUGGCGGCGUGCCUAAUACAUGCAAGUCGAACGGUCUUUCUAUGGAAGCUUGCUUCCACUGAGAAGAUAGUGGCGAAACGGGUGAGUAACACGUGGGUAACCUGCCCAUAAGAGGGGGGAUAACAUCCGGAAACGGGUGCUAAUACCGCAUAGUUUUCUUGAUCGCAUGAUCGGGAAAGGAAAGACGGCCUUUGUGCUGUCGCUUAUGGAUGGACCCGCGGCGUAUUAGUUAGUUGGUGAGGUAACGGCUCACCAAGACGAUGAUACGUAGCCGACCUGAGAGGGUGAUCGGCCACAUUGGGACUGAGACACGGCCCAAACUCCUACGGGAGGCAGCAGUAGGGAAUCUUCCGCAAUGGACGAAAGUCUGACGGAGCAACGCCGCGUGAGUGAAGAAGGUUUUUCCGGAUCGUAAAACUCUGUUGUCAGAGAAGAACAAGUUGGAGAGUAACUGCUCCAGCCUUGACGGUAUCUGACCAGAAAGCCACGGCUAACUACGUGCCAGCAGCAGC
rnacentral:rRNA from 1 species